AGGGUUUGAUUCUGGCUCAGGAUGAACGCUGGCGGCGUGCCUAAUACAUGCAAGUCGAACGAAUCUCUUUUAGAGAUGAGUGGCGAACGGGUGAGUAAUACAUAGGUAACCUGCCCCUGUGCGGGGGAUAACAGGAGGAAACUCCUGCUAAUACCGCAUAGCCAUGAGCACCGCAUGGAGCUCAUGCCAAAUAUCCUUUAUGGGAUAGCGCAGGGAUGGACCUAUGGCGCAUUAGCUGGUUGGCGGGGCAACGGCCCACCAAGGCAACGAUGCGUAGCCGGCCUGAGAGGGCGGACGGCCACAUUGGGACUGAGACACGGCCCAG
rnacentral:rRNA from 1 species